AACUGCACCGACUGGAGUGUUUUUGAAGCUACUUUGCCCACUUCCUUGUAGACAGGGGACCAGACAAAAGGUGCUAGGGACGCUGCCACAGGGUGUCACAGAAUGCAUUUAUUCAGUAUUUGAAAUGAUUGUCUCAUGUCUACAUAGAGGUUGAACCAAUGGAGCGUUUGGGGCAUCCAACCGUGUCUGUAUGAGUCUUUAUCGGAGGAGGAAAGAAAUGUUGAGGAAGAGAUUGGAAAUGAACACUUCUGAUUGGAACGUUUUCUCUUAUACAAUGAUGAUGCUACUGCUGAUGAUUCCAGCCAUCUGAAGGUCAACCAUCUGUAACCUGUAAGAUCUGCAAAGCAGGAACUUUUUGACUGCAUCGACAGGAGUGUUUUUGAAGCUGCAACACUCAACCUGGACGAAGUUACUGAGGCAGGCAAGAAACUCACCGACACAGGAGGUCACAGUGGCUAAAAGAAGCUACACUGAAAAGCUUUCAACGACCACAAUUGGGUAGAGUAAGGAAAAGCUGUACUCAAGUAAAAGUAUUGUUACUUUAUAAUAAUAGUAACUCAAGUAAAAAAAAAAGUAUGGAAAGCUGUACUCAAGGAAAAGUAAACCUGAUAAACUACACUAACAGGUCGGGUUGCCAAGGCAGCAGGUGACGUGAGGGGCCUCAGGGGAAGAGUGACACACAAAACACAGAUGGAACUCUCCUAACACUCUAAUAACCAUACACACUCCAUGCCAUACAAUACAAUAUAACCAUACAAUACUCUAGCCACAGAAGCUCUCAUGCAAAUACUCCCUCUACACACACACACACAUGCAAACACAUAUACACACACACACACAUACACACACUCACACACACACACGUAAACACACACACACACACAUGCAAACACAUACACACACACACAAUGUAUACAAUUUGUCAUGGAACAAAGAGUACAAGAGAGAAAGAUGAACCUUUUAUCCGUCACAGCGCUCUAACACCAUCUAAUCUCUGUUGACGUUGUUUUGGGAAGACAGUGCACUUACAGUAACAGGCUGUUAAAGAAAGUAUUAGUAUAUUUUAUCAUGAAUGUUUUAGCUAAAAGGCUUGUUCAAAAUGUUGUGUGUAAAGUGUGUAGGUUGAUUUUGGAAAAACACUGAGUGAGUCAAGAAUGUGAAACCACGUGAUGUUUUUCUGACAGAAGCGGG
ensembl:lncRNA